GUGAGAUCAUUUUGAAAGCUG
rnacentral:miRNA from 1 species